rnacentral:rRNA from 1 species
AUUGAACGCUGGCGGCAGGCCUAACACAUGCAAGUCGAGCGAGCGGCGGACGGGUGAGUAAUGUCUGGGAAACUGCCUGAUGGAGGGGGAUAACCAUUGGAAACGGUAGCUAAUUCCGCAUAUUAUCAGCUGUGCCCAGAUGGUAUUAGCUAGUUGGUGGGGUAACGGCGCACCUAGGCGACGAUCCCUAGCUGGUCUGAGAGGCUAACCAGCCACACUGGGACUGAGACACGGUCCAGACUCCUACGGGAGGCAGCAGUAGGGAAUAUUGCGCAAUGGGCGCAAGCCUGAUGCAGCCAUGCCGCGUGAGUGAAGAAGGCCUUCGGAUUGUAAAGCACUUUCGUAGGAGAGGCGUUACCCGAAGAAGAAGCACCGGCUAACUCCGUGCCAGCAGCCGCGGUAAUAC